rnacentral:lncRNA from 1 species
AGUCUCGAGUGUUGCAUGACAUUGUAAGAUCAUAUGAUAUGGACUGGAGAGGCUGCAUUUGAAGCAAGGAGCAAUAAAGGCUCAACUGGUAUCAGCAGCAGUGUAAGAUAUAGUUUACUGUUCUGUAAAGCCAUUUAGUUUUUCACCUUAAUUUUGUUGUGGGUUUUUUUUCUUUGACUUGUUUAUGUUUUUGAAAAAUCAUGCUGACUAUUAUAUUACUGUAAACUGUAAAGAAUCUACAGGAUCUUAUGAACCUAUAAUAUACUUAGAUAUAAAUAAGCAGCCAACUACUUUUUCCCACCUUUAGUAUAAAUAAAGAAUUACAUUUUCUAUUUACUACAUCAUUGUUUGUUUUUUAUGAUAAUUUGCUACGUCAUUGUUGGACUACACAGAUUUAACAAGUUCUAAUAUUUUUAUACAUUAUAUAAUCUGCUUUGUAAUUAAGCAUUAAGGUUAGGGAGAAACAAAAGUAACGUUGGAGUGCUCUAUUUCAGCUGAUCAAGCAUUAGGUUCUAAAAAUGCAGUAAAUCAGAUAUCAGAGUGCUAGAGGUAUUCCAAACACAAUUUGAGUGCCCUUUCCUGAAGCUGAAAUUUACUCUUCUUACAGGAAAAAGUUUCAGAUGCUUCUGUAAGUUCAGAACUACAGGCAUCAGUAUUUAGAAAUCUGUGGUUUUGGCAUGAUGGCUGCUUGUUAUAUUGUGUAACAGGCAUUAUCAUUGUUAAUAGUUUAUUGUGUUUUAAUUAGUUGCAGCCAGAUCCUUCAUACGAGUUUGUGCUUUUGGUUCAGCAUACAGUUCCACCUGCUGUGAACUUGGGUCUGACCAAUUUCAUUCAGCUACAAAUAUUUUUGUAUGGUCUCGGGUUUUUUUUCGAGGGUUCUAUAUAUUAUCUGGUCUUGUUUGUUUUAAGUUUUCAAAAUUUUCAGAUGUCUUGUCUUCUUGGCAGGGGCGUAGCCUGAAAAUUCAUAAACUGGGGUCAAAAUAUUAUAUUCUCUUCGUUCCGCCAGAUUGUUUACGUACACCGUUUGCAUGCAUUUUGGGCCUCUUGUAAAGCAUAACGUAUUUUUAAUUUUUUCUUUUUUUGAAUAAAAAUUUAAACGUGAAUUUUUUUUUAAAAAAAAAUGUAUUAUGUAAGUAUACUUUAUAAAAACCUUAAAAUGUGUGCUAAAAAUUAAUGUAAAGAACCUCAUGGGACUGAGUAACAUAUGAGCGACGGCAACCAGCAAGAGUAAAUGAGUAAAGUAGCGGAGGUGGAGGCUUGGAGCGGCUGUGAGUACAAAAUAGAUAGAGAGAGUUAUAUUUUAAUAAAUGGGUUAGUGACUAGUGCUUUAGAGGGGACUAGGGUGUAUAUUAUAAAGUGUCAUUGAAGAUUAAGAUUUGCAACUGGGUUUUACUACUUUGCUGUUUUUUUUGUUCAGAGUGAGAACCAGGGUCAAACCAAUUUUUAAUAUGAGUUCAAAAUUUAUUUUAAUAAUAAUUAUAUAGAUAAAGUAAAAUAUUUUAUGGGUUCAAGUGACCCCUCAAGCGUGGCUGUAGCUACGCCCCUGCUUCUUGGUGGUGAAUUUUACUCAUAAAAUAAAUUUAUGCAUGCUAUUAUUGAAGAUGAUAUAAGACCAUUUCAUGAACAAGCAAGCCUCUUCUUGUAUACAAGCUACAGACAUACCUUAGCAGGCUUCUUCUUGUAACUAGCGUUUCGCUUUCAAGUGGUGAAGGUUGAGAUUAUCCUUAAUUUGGUACCUCCGUGCGCAGCUGUCUUGCAACUCCAAAUGCAUGUACAGUAUAGUGUUUUUGUUGCUUGCGUUUUGGCCUUUUGGGAUAAGACUUGAUGAAAAGAGUGUGGAUAUCUUUAGUUGAGCCAAGAUAUAGUCAUGUCGAUUAUGCUGGGGAUUGGGUAAAAUCGAGUGCAGAGAUAAUUUUUGCUAAGCUUGGGUGUCAACAAUCUGUUAUUGUUAUAUCUCUUGCAUGCUCAUGAAUUCAGCAGCAGUUCCCUAAGUUUGCGUGACAGAUAAAUAGAUGUUACACAUGCAUUGUUCAAUUCCAAACACUUUACAUGCAGAGAUUAGCAAUCACAGUAUAAAUGAAUCAAAGAUUAUUUUGUUUCGCAAUCAUUUUAAUCAUUCUUUACUCAGAUUGAACAAAUUUGGUUGCCAAAAUUUAGACACAGGCAACAUGAAAGUUGUAACUGAAUAAUUUGGUCUCGUUCCUGCUUUGCCCCCUGGUGGAAACACGACGGUGUGGAAUGAUUGGAAAAUCAUCGACACCACGUUCUUACUUGAUAGUCUAAGGAUACAAGACAACGCCAAGUUAACUCUUUAAGGAGUCAUUUGUUAAAUCUGGAUAAUAUUUUCUGGAUGAAUGAAAUUCUGAAUGAGUAAAUAUCUGGAUGAUUGUAUUUUUGAAUCAUUUGUUAAAUUAAAUCUGAAUGACUUAAAAUUAUAUAUUAAAUUUAUUUAAUAAUUAUUUUUAUUAGAAAACAAGAUUUAUAAUUGAUAAUUCAUUAAAUUAACAUGAAAAAAAUUUACAAUACAAAUUUCUUAUCAAUUAUCUCUAUAUAAUAAUAAAUGCAUUUCUUUUAAAAUAAUAAUCGAUGUGUUAAUAUAUAAGCCACUAUUUUAUAAGAUUCAAAUCUUGUUAAUUAAAAUUAACUAUUUAUUUUAUUAAUUUUAUAAUCAUAAAUAUAUUAUAAUAUAAGAAGUUAUUAUAUAAAGCAAAUAUAUGUUAAAUUAGCACACAUAUUCAUCAACACACUUACACAAGCAAGGUAUAUGAACCAUCCAGCGAAGUUAUGUAGCCUUUUUCGUCCAGCGAAUUUUCCAGUCGUUCAGUUGAUUUACGACAGCAACAAACAAUCUGAAUAGCUAACCUUUUUCUCGUCCAGCUAUAUCUGUCUCGUUCACUCGUUAACAAAUGAGGCCUAACAGUAAAUUAUUAGAAUAAAAUCUAUGGACUUGCUGAUAAAAAACAAGCAAUAUUUUAAAAAUAGAGUGAAUUGCAGGUUGUGUACCUGAACUAUCACAAGCUUGCACUUUGUGUACCUGAAAUAUACUAUCUAGCAGAUUGUGUACCUGGAAUUUGAAGAUUCUAGCGAUGUGCAUACUUCAACCUUUUAGUUCAAAAACUCAGAAACAGUAUUAGAAUAUAAUGUAAAUCAAAUUUUCAAAGAGGAAGAUAAAACUGGUAUUGAAUCAAGUAUGACUUACUUGGAAGAGUUCUAAAUUAGUACUUAACAAUUGUGGCAGAGUAAAGAUGUGGUGAAGCUUAACUAACCAUUGUUCCUUUGACUUGAGUAGUGACAUGGCCUCUUGAGCGGUUAGCCAUUGGCUUGGAAAGGCCAAAAUCAGCAACUUUUGCGUUCAAGCGUUCAUCUAACAAGAUAUUAUUUGAUUUGAUGUCCCUAUGUAUGAUCGGAGGGUUGGCUAGGUCAUGCAGAUAUUGUAAGCCUUUGGCUGCUCCCAGAGCUACUCGAAGUCGUCUAUGCCAGUCCUACCUGAUCCCAGACUUCCCUUAAAAGUGAAUAAGAUAAUUACGGUAUCAGAACUCGGAUGUAAAUUUGUUAUAACCUAAUCACAGACUUCCCUUAAAAGUCCUGAACUUCUACACAGAUUUCUUGCCGAGCCUGAACUUGAGAAAGAUAUGUAACUAAAUGCUAACUAGCUCUCUAUUUGUAAGCAUCUAGUCCAUCAGUAUAGGAUAUGAGCCCAGAGGAAGGAAUUUGAAGGCACUUAUACAAUAAGGAAUGCAAGUAAAAUAUUUGAUAAGCUCAUGUACCUGAGAGCCUUUCUUUCAGAGUUCCGUUUGCAAUAUACUCAUACACCAGCAUCUACGGCUGUAAAAUGAUCCGAGCGAUACCGGUUACCCUUUGCUCAAGUAUAGGAUCAUAUUAUUUUUAGCUUGUCUAGAUUUGGUUCCGGGAUCAGUUUAUUCGGAAAUAAACCGAUCCCGGAUAUAUGUGAUUCGGAUCUGAACCGAAUAUGAUCCAGUAUCGUAUUUUCUAUUUUUUAACCGGAUAGUUUAUGAUCCAUCGACUAUGAGCCAGAUAUGAUCCACUAACAUUAAAUAUCAUUAUCGUUUCAUUUAUUCAAAUAAUUAUCAUUUAGUCUAAGUAAACAUAAUAUUAUAAAGUAUAAUAAUUUUAAAUUAAAACUUAUAGUUAUAUGUUGAUAUAUAUCAUUUAUUAAAUAUAUAUGAAGAUAAUAAGUAUGAUCACAUGAAAUAAAUCAUAUUUUAUGAAGAUAUAAACUUAAUAAGAUAUUAAAAUUUUAUAAAAUGAUGACUAUUUACUUAUAAAUAUGAUGGAUUUAAAAUAUAAUAUGUAUAUGAGUUCGAAUCGAAUAUGAAUCGUCGAUCAUUUUCGGGUAUUCGGGUAGGAUCCUAUUAUGAAAAAUUAUAUGAGACCGAAUCUGAGCGGGCAUAGGUGUGCUCGUAUCUGGGAUCAUAUAUUAUACAGGCUUAAUUUUUCCGCCAGAUUUGGAUCAUUUUCAAAACGGAUAUGAGACAUGUAUUAUUUUCCAGCCGGAUAUAAGCCAAGACUCCGGAUAGUCCGUAUUUACAGCCCUACAUCUGUUCACCUUGCUCAAAACAAAAACCCAUGAGGCUGAGAGAAGCUCAAUCUCAGUUUUAAACUCAUGGCCGCCUUGCAUAGAUUGUUGAUCUGCUCUUUUAAUUGCAACCAGCAUCCCACCGGGAAGAGAUCCUCUAUAUACCUACAAAUAUCAAGACUAAGAUAGAAUUAUAACAGUAAAUAAAAUUUUCUGGGGAUUUGUUCAAAUCAAGGUCAAUUUAUACAACACAGUUUUAUAUUCAGAAAAUUUAGAAGAUGUAGCAGGUUCUGUUGGUUUUUAAGAUACAAGAGGGAGAUAGAUAUAAGAGCAUCUCCAAAAGGCUCUUUAUUUAGGCUCCUAACUUGAGAUUUGAGGAGGGAGAAGCAAAAUGUUGCUCCAAGAGACUCUUAAGUGGCUCUUAAAUCUUAAGAGCCUCUUGUUUCUCUCUCCUCUCUCCUCAAAGUUAAGAGCCACCACAUGGCUCCUAAGUUAUUAUUUCACCAUAAACAAAUCCGUAUCUCCAAUCAACCUCCAUCUUUCCCUCUCUUUUGUUAUAGUGGAGCCCAAUAUAUGAAUAAAAUAUGAAAUAGAGAAGAGAUGUAGAGAGUAUUGUUGGAGUUUACACUCUUAACUUUGUCCUAAAUUACUAAGAGCCACAUUUUUUAUAUUAUAUUUAGGAGCCAACAAGGAGGCUCUUGGAGAUGCUCUAAUAUAUUAGGUGGAAGCUUAUAGGAGAGACAUGGAAGCUUAUAAUUUUAUUAAUCAAAAAGUUUUUUAUAUAGAGCUCACAAAAAUCACAUUAGCACGAUUAGUGUCACAUAAUAAGUUUAUGGAGUUACAAAUCUUAUCUAAUUAAAGAGGCAUUAAAACAUUAUCAACUAAUUAAUAUUUCAGUUACAAUUUUGAAUCAUAAUUCCAACAGGUUCAAGAGAAUUCACAAAUUAUUCGUUACUUAUGCAUAGGUGCUUGAGGAGUUCGAAAAUUAUCAAAACCUGUUUCAGUAAUUUCAUAGCAAUAUAUUGUAACAUCUCAAUAUAUAUGCAUAGUGAUAAAAGGCAAAUUCAACUGUAAUUGUCUGCCGGCACAGGGCAAGUGGCCUAACUCCGGAAGAACUAUGAAAUAGUCUCUGUCAAAUUACUUACAACCACAGCAGAAUUUGAUAAGAAUAUAGGUAUUAUAUAUUCCAGCUAACCUUCCCAUAACCACCAGAUCCAAUAGCAUUAGCCUCGGAGAAGUUGUUAGUGCAUUUCAUAAGAUCUUCAUAUGAGAAACAUCUUGCUCCUUUCAAUUGAGGACCGCCAGUGCUGCUACUGUUAGAGUCCCAAGAACCUGCAAGCUUUUGAUGUUAAGUCGUAAUUUAGGGCUGAAUUACUACAUUUGCUCAUUUAUGAUCUUAUCAAAAGAAUUGCUUAGUUGAGUAGCUCUUUUAGCUCUUUUCUUUUCACGAAAAGCAUAAAUUCCUGCAAGAAGUAACAGUAGCACCAGUACACAACCACCAGCUGCAGCUCCAAUUGCAAUGCCGGUACUAGAUGACUUGCUUGUCCUCCUGGUUACAUCUGGACAAGUCCAUCACACAUCGCAGAGUCAAAAGAUCCAGUUUAACAUAGUAUGACCAACUUCUUUUAGUGUCUGUGUCAAAACAUUACUUACCUGAGGUAAACAUGCCAUAGUUAUCAGCAUUGAAGUAGUAAGUCCCAUAAACAGUUUUAUUCGGCUUAAAAGUUUGGUUGCUAAACACAAACCCUAAAGAAGAAAUUCCUGUACGGUUAAAGCGAUCUUUCCCUAAUGGGAAAACUUCCAAGGUGAUUACAAGGUAAUCAUCCAGAUUUUUUGUUGGAUCACUCAAGGAAACUGAAUCCACAGGGAGUCUAGUGGACUGAAAAAAUGACAUCAUGGAUGACUGAAGAGAUGUAUAGAAACUUGGAUCUUCUAGGUUGGAGAAGGAAGGAGCUUUAAAAUACAAAUGUCCCUGGUAUGGAUAUGCACAUAUACAGUUAGGGCUGGAUCUUUGAUCUGAACUACACAGAGCAGGCACACAGUUAUUUGUCUCCGUUGAAUAGGACGAAGAGUUAGACUGCUGAGGUAGGGUACAGUAUUUUUCAGUCCCUCCACUCUCACAAUAAGGGUUGCCGAUAAGUCUACAAAAGAGAAGCACAAGUUACAACAAUGUUAUAACAAAUUUAAUGAUAAAAAUGCUAAACUAGGAUUUACCAAAAAAGCCCUGCAAAAUUGGCCUAGAAUAAGAUCAAAUGGCCUACAUUAUCUCAGAAUUGUCUCCGGCUCGUUGCACUGGGGCUGAUAUGUUAUUGCUCUGCAAAUCUACAAGCUGGAGUUGGUUGCUGAAGCUAGAUCCGACGUCAAUGGUUCCAUUAAGAUGGUUAUUUCUUAGUAUUCUGUUACAAAAAAAAAAAGAGAGAAAAGAAAGAGCAGUUUGUUAUCCGUAAUUCAUGUAUGUUUGUUUAACAAUAAAUAGAGAUAUUCCAAUAUAUAUAAUACAUGAAUACAUAGAGGAGUUUUUUCACGUACACAGUUUGUAAUUGAGUAAUACUGAAGAGUUGCAGUGGCACUUCUCCUUGAAUAUUUGUGUUGUCCAUCACUCUGUCGUUGCAAGUUUAUGUCAGAUCCUAAACACAAAGUCAAUUAAUAAUACCAUGGCUACUCCAAAGCUAACUUCAUAGAAAUAUAAAGAUUGAAGUAGCAUUACCAAAUGAUGAAAUUAUUAUAUACAUUGGCAUUAGUUUUUUUUUUUUUUGCCGGAAGAAAUAGAAUUCAUUAAUUCCUCAAAUCGUUCUUCAGUACAUGAAGGAACUCUGAAUGAGCAUUACUCAUCCACCACCUACGAUCAGCAAUAGAACUACUAUACCUCGCUAAAUAGUGAGCUACGUGGUUCGCAAACCGCUUAACAAAUUUUAAGAAAACUCCUCUGUUUUUCAACUCCGAAAGCAGAUUUUUGCAUUCUGCUAUAAGCCUACCGAAAUAUGACAUGAGAAGGGAAGAGCUUCUUAUUGCCUGUAUUGCAACCAGGCAAUCUGAUUCGAUCGUCACAUCACACAUAUGCUGCUCUUUUAUCCAACUCAGGGCCUCCCUAAUCCCCAUCGCUUCUGCACUUUCAGGAGUCAUACUACCUUGUUUACAACUUGAGCGUGCUUCAAUCAGAUCUCCUGCAUGGUUUCUGGCAACGAAAGCAAAACUGUAGCAGUUGGAGGAUUGAAAAAUCGCAGCAUCAGUGUUCACCUUAGACUUAUUUUCAGAUGGAAGGGACCAGUGCUCUUCGCCAUCCUCCUUGGUCAUGAAACCUAAGAAGUUGUCGAACUGUUUGUCUUGAGCAGAUUGCCAUUGUCUAAGGACCAUAUUUGCCGAUUCUACGACGUCAACUAUCUCCGUACCGCGUUGGUUCCACACUAACUCGUUUCGUGCCUUCCAUAUUGACCAGCACAACAUAGCAUUUUUCUGGCGCUUUGCAACAUCCCAGCUAUCAAAGUUGUUUAGAACCCAAUCUGAGAAAGAGUCCCCUUCAUUAUUUCCUGGAAGGCCACCGAUUCUAUCCCAACAUGAUUUAGCAAAUGAGCAGUGGAGGAGCACAUGACUAGUGGAUUCUGGGUCUGAGUUGCAAAGAGGACACAAAAUAUUUACCUCCACCCGUUUUGUACGAAGCAUUACUUUAGUGGGAAGGCAGUCAGUUGCAGCUCUCCACAUAAAAUGCUUGACUUUUGGAGGCACUUUCAUCGUCUAAAGAUUCUUCCAGAAGCAUGGAUUUACUGAUGAAUUUUGGCCUGGCUUGCUAUCCUGGAUCCUCCUGUAUGCUGUUUUCACUGAGUAACCACCACACUUUGCGUACUUCCAAUACCAACUAUCUGGAGAAUUAUUCUGCAGAGGGAUAGAUAAGAUAAGGUUAAUGUCCCUUUCAUCAAAGAUAUCUUCGAGGAGAUCUUCAUCCCAUUUGUUUUCUCCCGAGACCAUUACAGAAGAUACUUUUGCAUUUUGUAUGGCCGGAUGUAUUGUUUGAAUGAAAGGGUUUUCGACAUCUGGAAGCCAUGGAUCUUCGGUAAUGCUUAUAAGAUCACCCGUACCCAGACGACAGGCCAUCCCUUGUUUAAGCAUCUGUUGAGCCUCUAAAAUGCUUCUCCAAAUAUAGCUGGGACUUCCACCAAUCUUAGCUGAUAAAAAGUUACUUUGUGGAUAGUAACGAGCUUUAUAGAUCCUUGCAACUAAGCUGUGAGGGUUUGUCAUAAGUCUCCAACCCUAUUUGCCCAAUAAAGACACAUUAAAAUCAUGCAAAUUAAAUGGCGAAAUCCCAGACCUCCGUACAUAUUUGAUUUGCACAGUUUGUCCCAGCUUAUCCAGUGAAUACCUUUUGACUUCUUCGGAUUUGUUUUCCACCAAAACUUGCACAUCAUUUGUUCCAUGUCCCUACACAUCUCGAGCGGAAGAAGGAAAACGCUCAUAGCGUAGUUUGGCAUCGCUUGAGCCACUGUUUUUAUUAAAAUUUCCUUACCUCCUUUAUUUAACAGCUUCCCAUCCCACGGCUGAACCCUUUGUUGAACUUUUUCUUUCAAGUAACCCAACAGAGCUGAUUUCUUUCUACCCAGGCUGUUAGGAAGACCUAAGUAAUGACUGGAAUCAUCAGCCUCAUGGAACUUAAGGAUAUCCAAAACCUCCUUUUUUGUGUCUGCAACGACAUUACGACUGAAAAAUACGCAAAAAUACGCUCGAUUUCUCGACAUUAAGCUUUUGACCAGAUGCAGUUUCACAUGUGCUUAAGAUAUUCAUUACAUGUUCAGCGUCUUCCUUAGUAGCUUUACAGAAGAUGUAACUGUCGUCGGCGAAGAACAUGUGGGUUACAGUAGGGGCACCUCUGGCUACCUUUAUACCCGUAAUCAAACCUUUCCUUUCAUAUUCCUUUAUUAUAGAAGUUAGGCCUUCCAUACAAACUAGUAACAAGUAAGAUGACAGCGGAUCGCCCUGUCGAAGGCCUCUUUCAGGAAUAAUAUCUCCAAAUUCUCUUCCUGCGUGAGUUAUUUUGUAUCUAGCAGACGUCACACAACUCAUUAGAAUAUUCACCAUCGUCACAUUGAAUCCCAUUUUCGAUAAAGUUGCCCUUAAAUAGGAUCAUUCUACGCGAUCAUAGGCCUUGCUCAUGCAUGUCAAGCUUAAGAGCCAUCCAACCCGUUUUGCCUUGAGUCUUUCUCUUCAUGUAGUGCAUGAUUUCAAAUGAUAUCAUGAUGUUUUCAGAGAUUAAACGCCCUGGGAUGAAAGCACUUUGAGUUUCCGAGAUUACCUUGUCAAUCACUUCUUUCAGUCUAUUUGCCAUGACCUUGGCCGCAAUUUUAUAUACAACAUUGCAAAGAGAGAUGGGUCUGAGGUCUGUCAUGAAUUGAGGGUUCUUCUUCUUCGGUACAAGAACUAUAUUUGUAUCUGUGAGGAUUAUAAACCCACUUGCAUCUUCAGCUGUUUGUGAAACAAGGGAUAUAUUUACUCUUUACAAUUUAAUUAUAAAAGAAUUUAUGCGUCAGGUCCUACGUUCUAAGGACGACAUCAAAUUUUCAUACGAAAACAAAGGGCUAUACAUAUAACAAACCCAAUCAAAUUACUAUGAUUAAUAAAGUAAAACUCUUAUGAAAAGUGGAUUCCACACUCAUGCACGCAGCAAUGGAACUUAAAAACUAAAACCUUAACUUUUCGUUUAAUUUCACGUAGAAAAUGUGCUUUUGUGCAGCACUGAUGCCACAAAGACUUACUUCAACAUAGAUUACGCACCACUUCAAUCCCUCCGACAAGUUAUAUCAGAGGCAAAUGCCAACCAGGGAAAAGGAAUUCCAAGACCAAUGCCAAUUCAUUUUGUACUGUCGGAAAACACAACUGCUGGUGAGUCAAAUAUUAGGGACAUACUGGAAGCUAAACUGUCAGCUGCCACCGCGUAAGAGUGCCCUGAACACAUAAUCUACACUUCCUCAAAAAACACCCACUUCGUCUAAUAUUUUUACUACCACAAAGCUCAACACAAGCUCACCUUGGAUUAGUUUUUAUACACAGUGCCAUGCAUUUGGGAAUGCCACAAAACUAACAGCAUUUAAAAGUUGACAACCAAACAAUCACACCACAUCUCUUUAUUAGCCAAACACUUAACGAUGCAAAAAAAAAAAAAAAAAAACCUCAAACUUAAAUUGUAGGUUCUACGCCGGACAUGCGAGGCCACAAUAGUGGCGGUUGUGGAAGGCGAGGGAUGGUACUACAAUUGCUGCCCACGAUGCGCACGCAAAGUGCAGACUACUACUGAGGGGAAUUAUUACUGCACAUUCUGCUCUAAGGAGGCCCAAGAUUUCAAGUUACGGUACUUGACUUGCAAUCAUCCUUUAACAUUAAUAUCAACUAUAUUUGCAUUCACAGUACCAUCAAAAAUAAGGAAAACUCAUCAACUUAAUACAGGUUCAGGCUUACCGUCCGAGUGGAAGACUCGAAUGCCCAAACAACUUUCACCCUCAAUAAAGAGGCCGAACAGAUCGUCGGCAUACCAGUGGACAAAAUUAUCGACGAGUUUCCAGAGGUGACCCAAAAUUUAAAAACAAGCGCAUUCAUAUGAGCCAUAUAAUUUCAAGACCGCUAACUCUGGUACUGUUUGCAGGGCACAAACAUUGCAGAAAUACCCCUGUCAUUAAGAACAUAAUUGGAAAGCGUUGCGUGUUUGAUGUCAAGAUUAAUGAAUAUAACACUGUCCGCGGUUACAAAGAUUAUACCGUGUAUCGGCAUAAACUCAACAGCCAGACGGAACAGCCCUCGACCAGCAACAAAGACAACCCAAACAACUCAAAGAAACAGAGGGUGAAUUGAGGAAGUCCAAAAACAAGCUACAUCCAGCACUACAAACAAAGAUAGCAUCAUCAACUUAGUUAUUCCGCACAAUCUUUAGCAGCAUUACACUAUGCACUAGACCAUCUACUAUAAAUGCAUCAGAAUCUUUGAACACAUGCACGUAUUCCAUAUGCAUUACUAACCUUCUUCGUAAGAGCAUCUCCAAUGUGAGGUGCCAACCAAAGUUGCUAAACAUGCUUAUUCAUCAAAAAUAUCAAUAUUUUAUUUUCUCUUUCUUUUAAGUUACUUUUGGCACCCCUCUUAUCAAUAUUCACUCAAAUGGUUGGCAAUUAAAGUUGUCAAAAUACUAUAAUUUUGUUUAUCUAAAAUUAGAUAGGAUAUUAUAGGCUUUUAUGACAAUAAAUGAAUUUUUUCCAUUUUGAGAGAGUGCCAAAGGGUGCCAAAAAUUGGCAACUUUGCUUGGCACCCCUAUCACUCCAAUGGGUAGCCAAAAAGAUUGUUAUGCCAUGUCAUGCCACAUGACAUUUUGGCACCUCUUUUAGCACCCCCAUUGGAGAUGCUCUAAUACUAUCCAUCUGAAUUCCGAUAUGUUUUAAAAUUAUUUCAAAAUUCUGUCAACAAUAUUUUAAAUCAUUAUUAUUGAUAAAUUUGCAAUAUUAAUUUUUCCCAAGUUCAAUAAAAGAGGUAUAUUAACUAAUAUAUGUUACUAUAAUUAUCUAAACGAAUUUAUUAUUUGAAAAUAUGUUAUUUCAAACUAAUUUAUUAUAAUGAAAGACAUCCAUUUCGAAGAAUACUAAAUUAAAACAAAAAAUAUUAAAACAGAUCACCAUAUUAAUUAUUAUGUAUGAAAUAUUACCAAAAACAAUAUCUUAUCUAUAUAAAAUAUAAUUUAUAGUGGUCGUCUCAAUAAAUACUAAUCGCAUUACUUCCCUAAAUAUUUUAUAAGAUGUACAUCUCUUCCAAAAAUUAAUCACUGAAAAAAAAAUACGUAAUCUAUCUUCAAAAAAGAUACAAAAAUUUAAAAAAAAAUUAAAUAAAUUUAUUUUAUAGACUUCUCUUUUUUAAAUAGUAAUAUAAGAUAGAAUAUAUAAUGCAGAUUAUGAUAGUGUUGUAAAUAGCAAACAUUCUAAAAAUAAAAUAACAUUGAACAGACUCCACAAUUCGUUACACAACCAUCUCAACAUAUUGCCAACAUAUUGCCCAAACAAAUGAGGCUUACUACUAUUUUCCUAAUUGUAAGGCCAUCGUACACCUCUCGCAUCUGGAGUUCUUCUCAUAGUUGUGUAUUCCUCGGUCGCAUUUUAGUUGUCCAUUUGAUUUUAUGCCGAUCGAAUUGAUCAAAGUUUGACUGCAAUUUAUUAAUAAUUUAUCAAUUUAAAAAAUAAAAAAAAAUUUGCCAUCAGAAAUAAUCUUUAAUCGACUUUAAGAUGUAAUUUUCAGUUUUUUUUAAAAUAAUGAAAGAGUAAUUCAAUUUGACAAACAAAAAUAAAAAUGUGACAACUAAAAAAGGACGGAGGGAGUACAAAUUUUCAUUUAAUUUAAUGGGAACCAACUCAGGCAGACACAAGUGUGCUGAGAGCAAGUCGUAUAGGUUACCUAAACUUUCUCCUAAACUCACAUUUAGAUAAUGUACUAAAAAAAAGUACUCCAACACUCUCUUAAUGGUUACAUAAAUCACUAGUAUAACCUCAAAUCUCCUAGCCAUUACCUAUUUAUAAGUAUCCCGUGGCCAUUACCUAUUUAAUAUUUAUGAAUAAAGUAAUCAUCUCUCUCCUUUUUUCUUUGUCUUUUUUUUCUCUCUCUCAUUCUCUCUGUCAAAUUUGUUAUUAAAAUAAUUUUAAGAGAACAAAUAUAGAGAUUGCUUUUGGAGUUGACACUAAAAAUAAAUUUAUCUAAAUACUCGUCAAGAUUCAUUAUUUUAUAUUAUUGAUAAGUAAUUAUAUAGGUAUUCAACUUUGAAGUCUACAUUCAUUCACUCACAUGGAUAAAUUAAUUUUUGCCCCUCAAACUCUUCCUAAUUUACACUUUUAGCCAACCUCACCCUGAACAAACGAGUACACAUCUAAAAUAUUAAAAUGAAAAAGUAAAACAGACAAAGUACACACACACACAAAUAUAUAUCAUAUUAUCAUCAAGUUUUCUCUUUUUUCUUCAAGUUCAACCCCUUUUAAUCUUCUCAGAUCCAUAUUCUUAUUUUUAUCAUUAAUUUUUACAAAUCUCCUGGUAGGUUUGAAUCCAUGGUUCUUGUCUGAAAAUCUACUUGUGUUCUGCUUAGGUUGUUUAUUGAACAAGUCUAACCUUUGUCAAACUAAAAGAAGAGCUGCACUUUUCAUGUCUUUACUUGGUUUUAUUAUGUAAAUGAUCAGUUGCUGAAGAUGAGUUCCAAGUAAACAAACAAAGGUAUGAUCUUUAUGUUUCUAUUGUUUGUAUAAGUUGAAUUUUAUUAGUUUAGCUUUAAUCUUUAUGUUUCUAUUGUUUGCAUAAGUUGAAUUUUAUUAUUUUAGCUUUAAAUAUGAUUUGUGUAACUGAUAGAUCUUUGCUUUGAAAUUUUGUUGAUAAUUUCAUGUUCUAAAGGAUUUUUGGUUUUUAUUACGCUAGAUCUUGUUAAAAGUUUGAAUCUUGAUUAAUUUUUGUUUUGUUUUUUAUAUAUGAGAUGAUGGGUUGUGAGUUUGGUAUUGUUUGUUAUUAAAGUUUGUGUCUUUUUGAUAUGUAUGUGCUGUAUUGAUAGGUUUGUGUGGUCAGAAAUAUAAGGGGGGUGUAUCAAGAUUAUGGAAGAGGUGGGUACUCAAGUUGCUUCUUCUCAUUAUAUUCACCAAUCACUUUCCAAGCAUUUUCUUGACUCACAACACCACCCCAUGGCUGCGGCUAAGAAGCGUAGUAUGCCUUUCCAUCCCCUCGGUUUUCACCUACCACAGUCGCAACAGCAGCAGCCUAUGUUUGGUUCUGGAUUUCAACAAAGCAGGGGUCAGUGGCACCCUAAUGGUUGGGAUUGGGACAGUGCAAAAUUUCUUGCAAAGCCAGUGGAAUCGGAUGUUAUCCGCGGGGGACCUUCGACAAUGUCUGUGCAAUCUGUAAUGCAGAGAGGUCACGGUGAUGAGAUAAUUGCAGCGAAUUCUGUGGAUUUGAGGGGAAAUCAUGUAGUGGAAGAUGAUGAGAAUCUACUUUUAAAGCUCGGGGGAAGCCGUGUUAAUUCUGCGGAGGAGAAUGUUUUGAGGCCUAACAAGAAAGUCAGAUCUGGAUCUCCUGCUGGUGGGAACUAUCCUAAAUGUCAAGUUGAUGACUGUAAGGAGGAUCUUUCAACUGCUAAAGACUAUCACAGGCGGCAUAAGGUGUGUGAAGUCCACAGUAAAGCUACCAAGGCUAUUGUGGGAAAGCAGAUGCAGCGGUUUUGUCAGCAGUGUAGCAGGUUUGUGGCUUUGUUUCUCGACUUAAACAUUUCAUGUUAAAUUAGUUUGUGCUAUUAGGACAUGUUCCACUUCGUGUGUAAUGGAAUCUUUUUCUCAUGGUGUGAAUUGAGAGGGGCUUACCGUUCUUUGUUGUUACUAAGCAAAUUUUGUUUAUGCAUUUUUUUUGCAGGUUUCACCCUCUUUCAGAGUUUGACGAGGGAAAGCGAAGUUGUAGGCGGAGGCUAGCAGGGCAUAAUCGGCGAAGGAGGAAAACUCAACCAGAUGAUGUUACCUCCAAGUUGUUACCUCCCACUAACCGUGAGAAUGUUAGUAACGGAGAUGUGGAUCUUGUCAAUAUUUUAGCAAUUCUAGCUCGUGCACAAGGUACAUUUUUCUGUGUUGCUUUGUUUGAAUCCCCAGUUUGUUGUUUGCACAUCUGUACCGAGCAUAAAAGCCUAAUACUAAUAUAUGCAAAUUACUAGGGAAUACUGAAGAUGGCAGCAUUAAUGGCUCAUCGAUUCCCAAUAAAGAUCAGCUUAUUCAAAUCCUUCAAAAGAUUAACGCGUUACCUUUGCCAGCGGAUUUUUCUGCAAAGUUUCCUCCUUCAGGAGUCACUAGUAACAUUGCUCCGUUUCAGUCAGAGAGCGAAAAUAAACUGAAUGGAAAUAAUUCUCACUCGUCAACUCUGGACUUGCUCGCUGUUCUUUCAGGAAAUCAAGCAGGAUCCUCUCCUGAUGCCACUGCAGUUCCUUCCCGAAGAAGCAGUCAUGGGAGCGACAGUGAAAAGACUAGGUCUCCAUGUACCAAUAUGCAAACCAGACACCAGAAUGAGUUUGCUUCAGUUGGAGAAAGAAGUAGUACUAGUUAUCAGUCUCCUACAGAAUGUUCAGAUGGCCAAGUGCAGGAAAUUCGUACUAAUUUACCGUUGCAGCUUUUCAGUUCCUCUCCUGAAAGUGACAGCCCACCGAAAUUGGCAUCAAGCACGAAAUACUUCUCAUCAGGUAGCAGUAACCCUAUGGAAGAAAGGUCACCUUCAUCUUCUCCGCCUUUUGUGCAAAAGUUGUUUCCCACAGUUUUCUCAAGAGAAGCAGUAAAUCCCAAGAGAUUGUUAAAUAGACUUGAGUUUAAUGGGAGUUCUAAAGCUGGUAAGGAUAAAGGCUGCUCCACGUCUCUUGAUCUUUUUGGAGGGAUGAAUAAAUGUGUUGACGAUAGUUCUGUUCAAAGUUUUCCAUACCAGGCAGGGUACACAUCCUCUUCUGGAUCGGAUCAUUCACCUUCAAGUUUAAAUUCGGAUGCUCAGGUAAUAUAGAAGACUUGUCCUGUUUUUGACAUCUAAUUUGAUAUCGCUUUAUCUUAUUAUUCAAAUUUAAUGAGACGCUGACUACCUCUCAGAAUCGUUCUGGACGGAUAUAUUUCAAGUUAAUCGAUAGGGAUCCUAGUCAGUUACCUGGAAAACUGAGAACACAGGUAAGCCACAAUCUUUGUAACCUCCAACUGUUAUCUUAUAUUUGAUUUAUCCAAACAUAGGAUAAUUGAUUACCUUUUUGAUUUCAGAUCUUUAAUUGGCUUGGUCAAAGUCCAUCAGAAAUGGAAAGUUACAUAAGACCUGGUUGUGUAGUACUAUCAAUCUAUAUUUCUAUGCCGUCUUCUGCCUGGGAGCAGGUAAUUUAAAUAUUUUAGAGGAUAAAAUCAGCUCUGUUGUUUUAUGUAAAGAUUAUUCUUUUUGUUGUUUUGGGUAGUCUAUUCGCUGCUGAAUAUUUCUUAUGUUUGCAGCUUGAAGACAAUCUACUUCAAAACAUCACUUCUUUGGUUAAAGAUUCGGAAGAUCCAUUUUGGAGAAAGGGAAGAUUCUUAAUUAAUGCUGGAAGACAGUUGGCAUCGUAUCAAGAUGGUGAGUGUUCUUAUGAUCACAAUUCCAAUAAUCAUACUUCUUGUUGGUUUUAGACAUGUGCUGGUAGCUUAUAUAGUUCCCUAAACGAAUUGAGUACAUAUGUAGAGUAAAGUGCAUUUUGUGUACCUCACACCACUUUUAAGACCAAACUUACAAAACCCUCACUUGCAAUACUAUUGUAUCAAAGUAAAUGCAAAUUAUGUACUGCCGUCUAUCAGGGGUUAAUGCCGUGAAGUAAUUAAGCGGGAUUUUAAUAAGUCAUCUCCCUUUUUCUGUAAACUAAACUCUCUUAUCUUUCCCCAGUUGAUGGCUGGCAACUCUACAGCACAGUAGAUUACAUGACUUGUGUUUUAUGGAAACACGAGAUGAAUAUGCAAGGUUAUACAGCCUCUACCUUUUACAAUCUGGAGGAGUCAGCAAAAACAGUGAUGACUAGCAAUUUAUAAAUGGUAUUAAAGAAAAUGGAGUCUAGAACUUGACCUUCAUAAAUGAUAAAACAUUAGCUUACAGUAGAUAAAAUUUUACCAUGCAUUGCAUUACAUAAAAUUCACCAAACGACCAACAACAAAGAUAACAAAACAACCACAAAGAGAGGUCAUUACCAGCACCUUCAUUUUCGAAAACAUCAAUCUCACUUCGGUGUCUCACAAUCUUUCCGUUCGGCCGACGAGUAAAUGAAGUUCAAUAGUGGGUGUAUCCACCUAUGAAACCCACAAACAUCUCAGCAUAUUUUCUAAAUCGUCGACCUCCAUUUUCACCAAACAAUCGACUUUUUUCAACACUCAUUCACACACAAUCCCAAGUUAGAUCAAGUAUAACCUCAGAUUCUUUAAGGUACCAGAUUAUACUUGUGAUUAAGGGUAAAUAAUGACGGAGUUCUGGUUCACUGGCUAGAAGAUAUACUUGAUAAGAAUAUGCAUAUUUGGAAGAAAUAAAAUGUAAAACUGUACUGAUUAGCUCAUGGAGCUGGAGUUUAUAUACAAAACAGAAUGAAAGCUAAUAGAAUUGACAGCUAAGCUAACUAACUAGACAGCUGGAACACAGCUGGAAUAUUGAGCUAUUUACAAUAUUUACAUAUCAGUUUAAUAAUACUUCUGGGAUUCUUUGCUAGAACACAUACGCAAAAGAGCUGGUGCAAAAAGUAAAAUGAGCUGUUGCAGUAAGUAAAUUACUGAAAUACCUUAUUUACUUAACGGCGUUAACCCCUCAUAGACGGCAGUACAUAAUUUGCAUUGACUUUGAUACUAUAGUAUUGCAAGUGAAGUUUUUUUAAUUUGAUAUUGAAAGUGGUGUUAGGCCUUAAGUUGAGGUACACAAAAUGCACUUUACUCUACAUAUGUAUUUAUAUUCAGUCACUAGCUAUCUUUGGCCUAAGUUGAUGUUAUCCAUCUACAGGAAAGGCUCACCUCCGUAAAGCUACGAGGGCAUGGAGUUUUCCUGAAGUAGUCUCUGUGUCCCCUUUGGCAGUUGUUGGUGGGCAGGAGACCACUAUAUUACUGAAGGGGAGAAAUUUGAGUGAUCAAUACACCAAGUGAGUAGCUUAUUCUUACCAUUGCAAAUGUUAAGUUUGCUAGUUUUACUAUAUUGAAAUUGAUUUAAUGCUAUUCUAGAGUUUUCUGCACGCACGCUGUUGGAUACAAGCUUGAGGAAACUUCUGGAUCAGCUUCCGAUGAUACUACAUAUGAUAGUAUAACUUUACACAAUUUUACGGUUGCUGAUGAAGCACCUGGUGUACUUGGGAGGUGCUUCAUUGAGGUAUUGAUUAAUUAAUAAGCAAGUAAUAAAUUACAUCACCAUGCAUGUAUCUUCAAACAAGAUUAUAAUACUGCUUUCAUGAACAGGUUGAAAAUGGUUUUAGGGGCACCAGCUUCCCUAUAAUUAUUGCCAAUGCUACCAUCUGUAAAGAGUUAAACCUUCUGGAGUCUGCAUUUGAUAAAGUUGCAGCACCACGUGAUGCUAUCUCAGAGGAAUCAUUCCUUGAUUCUGGACGACCCAUAUCAAGGGAAGAUGUUCUACAUUUCUUGAAUGAGCUUGGAUGGGUACUCCAAAGAAAAAGAUACAUGUCCAUGUUUGAGGUCCCCGAAUAUAAGCUCCACCGUUUCAAAUUUCUGUUUAUCUUCUCAGUUGAACAUGACUUUUGUGCUUUGGUUAAAACCCUCCUAGACGUUCUUCUUGAAAUAUGUUUGGGUAGGGAUGAAUUGUCGAGAGAGUCGCUACAGAUGCUGUUAGAGAUCCACCUUUUAAAUAGGGCAGUUAAAAUGAGGUCUAGAAAAAUGGUAGACUUGCUGAUUAAUUAUUUUGUACCUACUGAUUCCGGAAAGACAUACAUCUUCCUACCAAAUCUUGCUGGGCCUGGCGGUAUUACACCUCUACAUUUGGCUGCAUGCAUGUCAGAUGCAAAUUCUAUGGUUGACACUUUGACAACCGACCCGCUGGAGGUGUGUAAUUUUAUCAUUAUUUUUUGGUUUCUAGUUAUCCAGAUUUAAAAUCUCAUUAGUCAUGAUCCUUAUUCCUUGGCACCUCAUAAUACUCAAAAGAUAGAUUUUAGUUUCCCAAAAACUGUUGAUAAUUUCUUUUUUUUUUUUAAAAAAUCCUUUAUAUGUGCCUCUGUUUUUGUCCAACUGUAGAUUGGUUUGCAUGGAUGGGAUUCCCUUCUUGAUGCAAAUGGCCUCUCUCCUUGUGCUUAUGCUCAGAUGAGAAACAAUCACUCUUACAAUGCGUUAGUAGCUCGAAAGCUUGUUGACAGAAAAAAUGGUCAAGUCUCUGUUCCGGUAGGUGAUGAGAUACAAGAACAAUCACUAAUUGCGGGUCAGAUCCACCAAGCUAGCUUUCAAAUCAGACAAGGGCAAAGAUCUUGUUCAAAGUGCGCCGUCGGGGCUGCUAGGUACAAUAGGAAGACUUCAGCCUCACAAGGCUUGCUUCACCGGCCCUAUAUACAUUCAAUGCUUGCCAUUGCUGCUGUUUGUGUUUGUGUAUGCCUAUUCUUAAGAGG